GUACUUUUAUUUUUUUUGUAUUGAGUUGUUAACUACACAUUUACAAAUGGAGGACUGAGCACAGUUGCUAUGAAUUGAUUACACAGAAGAAUAAUAAUAAUAAAAAACACUUUAAUGCAUCAAUAGCAUAUUUAACCAAAAAUACAUAAUGUAUUGUCAAAUUGGAUGAAGAACAGCAAGACAUUUGUAAAAAAUAUUAACUAUCACAGUAGACUUAAAAGCGCAUAUACAAAAUAGUAAUCCAAACAUUGCACAAUGUGAAAAAGUUAAAAUAGAGCAAUAGCUUGUUACAGUUCACUGUGAAGGUUAACCAUGCAUCUUAAAGAGUUAGUUCACCCAGAAAUUACAAUUCUUUCAUUAAUAACUCACCCUUCAUGUUGUUCCAAACAUGUAAGACCUUUGUUCAUCUUCAGAAUACAAAUUAAGAUAUUUUUGUUGAAAUCUGAGAGCUCUCUGACCCUCCGAAGACAGCAAUGCAACUGAAAUGUUCCAAGACCCAGAAACAUAGGAAGGAUAUCAGUAAUAAUAAAAAAAAGGACUCUUCAUAAUGGAGGAAAUCAAAAAUAUCUUAAUUUGUUUUCUGAAGAUGAACGAAGGUCUUACAGGUUUGGAAUGACAUGUGGGUGAGUAAUUAAUGACAGUAUUUAGAUUUUUUUGGGUGAACUAUCCCUUUAAUGCUUUCAAGGACAACACCAACAUCCUCUGGUUCAUCAGAAGCAUGUUGUUUGAAAACAUAAAUCCCAACAGUGGUGUCUUCAGUGGCCUCAUUGAUGCAGACUUCAUUCAUGCCCUGCACAAAACAAACAAAUGUAGGUAAAUGUAUGGAAGUAAGUCCUAUUAACAAAGGCCUAUUGAGAAAAAUCUAGCACACACACACAAAAAAAAAUUUACAUUUAAAAUUUCUGGUUUAUUUGGAAUGACAAAAUGUAUAUUUUGAAUUAUGUGUAUCUUAGUCACAAAAAUAAAGAUUUAACCGUAAAAGAAAAGUAAAUUAAAAUACUUACCCAUAUAAAGCUUGUGUGCAAAGAAAAAUGCAAAACAACAGGAAACACACUAAAUCUAAUGUUCAGAACACUGCUUUAUUAUUAUUAUUAUUGCGAGAGACAGCGAAUAAAACAAAUUAGUCAACUGACAUGAUAACAGGGCUUUUCCGCUGGGUGCAUCCAAAAAGGUCCA
ensembl:lncRNA